ACGAUUAAAGCUCCCUUCGGGGAGUGCAUAAAGUGGCGCACGGGUGAGUAACACGUAAGUAAUCUACCCUCGAGUGGGGAAUAACAGUCGGAAACGACUGCUAAUACCGCAUAAUGCAGCGGCACCUUAUGGUGACGGUUGUUAAAGGAGCAAUCCGCUUGAGGAGGAGCUUGCGGCAGAUUAGCUUGUUGGUAAGGUAACGGCUUACCAAGGCUACGAUCUGUAUCCGGCCUGAGAGGGCGGUCGGACACACUGACACUGAAUAACGGGUCAGACUCCUACGGGAGGCAGCAGUCGGGAAUUUUGGGCAAUGGGCGAAAGCCUGACCCAGCAACGCCGCGUGAAGGAUGAAGUAUUUCGGUAUGUAAACUUCGAAAGAAUGGGAAGAAUAAAUGACGGUACCAUUUAUAAGCUCCGGCUAACUACGUGCCAGCAGCCGCGGUAAUACGUAGGGAGCAAGCGUUGUUCGGAUUUACUGGGCGUAAAGGGCGCGUAGGCGGCGUGUUAAGUCAGCUGUGAAAUCUCUGAGCUCAACUCGGAACGGCCAGCUGAUACUGAUGUGCUAGAGUGCAGAAGGGGCAACCGGAAUUCUUGGUGUAGCGGUGAAAUGCGUAGAUAUCAAGAGGAACACCUGAGGCGAAUGCGGGUUGCUGGGCUGACACUGACGCUGAGGCGCGAAAGGCCAGGGGAGCAAACGGGAUUAGAUACCCCGGUAGUCCUGG
rnacentral:rRNA from 1 species